rnacentral:lncRNA from 1 species
UUUUUUUUUUUUUUAAAGAAAAAAAGAAAGAAAGAAAAAAGAAAAGAAAAGAAAAUGCUGGCUUUUUUCCACUUGAUGGUUUUAGCUCCUUUGUCAAAGAUCGGGUGACCAUAGGUGUGUGGGUUCAUUUCUGGGUCUUCAGUUCUAUUCCAUUACUCUGUCUGUUGCUGUACCAGUACCACGCAGUUUUUAUCACAAUUGCUCUGUAGUACAGCUUGAAGUCAGGGAUGGUGAUUCCACCAGAGAUUCUUUUAUUGUUGAGAAUAGUUUUUGCUAUCCUAGGUUUUUUUGUUAUUCCAGAUGAAUUUGUAAAUUGCCCUUUCUAACUCUGUGAAGAAUUGAGUUGGAAUUUUGAUGGGGAUUGCAUUGAAUCUAUAGAUUGCUUUCAACACGAUGGCCAUUUUUACUAUAUUAAUCCUGCCAAUCCAUGAGCAUGGAUUGGCAUCUUCUUUCCAUCUUCUGAGAUCUUCGAUUUCUUUCUUCAGAGACUUGAAGUUCUUAUCAUACAGAUCUUUCACCUCCUUAGUUAGAGUCACACCAAGGUAUUUUAUAUUAUUUGUGACUAUUGAGAAGGGUAUUGUUUCCCUAAUUUCUUUCUCAGCCUGUUUAUCCUUUGUGUAGAGAAAGGCCACUGAUUUGUUUGAGUUAAUUUUAUAUCCAGCUAAGUCACUGAAGUUGUUUAUAAGGUUUAGGAGUUCUCUGGUGGAAUUGGGGGGUGGUCACUUAAGUAUACUAUUAUAUCAUUUGCAAAUAGUGAUAUUUUGACUUCUUCCUUUCCAAUUUGUAUCCCCUUGAUCUCCUUUUGUUGUCUAAUUGCUCUGGCUAGGACUUCAAGUACUAUAUUGAAUAAGUAGGGAGAAAGUGGGCAGCCUUGUCUAGUCCCUGAUUUUAGUGGGAUUGCUUCAAGUUUCUCUCCAUUUAGUUUGAUGUUGGCUACUGGUUUGCUAUAUAUUGCUUUUAUUAUGUUUAGGUAUGGGCCUUGAAUUCCUGAUCUUUCCAAGACUUUUAUCAUGAAGGGGCAUUAGAUUUUUGUCAAAUGCUUUCUCAGCAUCUAAUGAGAUGAUCAUGUAGUUUUUGUCUUUGAGUUUGUUUAUAUAGUGGAUUACAUUGAUGGAUUUCCGUAUAUUGAGCCAUCCCUGCAUCCCUGGGAUGAAGCCUACUAGAUCGUGAUGGAUGAUCGUUUUGAUGUGUUCUUGGAUUCAGUUUGUGAGAAUUUUAUUAAGUAUUUUUACAUCGAUAUUCAUAAGGGACAUUGGUCUGAUGUUCUCUUUCUUUGUUGGGUCUUUGUGUGGUUUAGGUAUCAGAAACAUAGUUUGAAACCAGUCUGCUCUAUCAAAGGAGUAAGAUCCUGUCUCAAAAAUUAAAUUAAAAGUUAUCAAAAAAAGAAAGGCAUGGCUUCAUAGAACGAAUUGGGUAGAGUACCUUCUUUUUCUAUUUUGUGGAAUAGUUUGAGGAGAAUUUGGAUUAGGUCUUCUCUGAAGGUCUGAUAGAACUCUGCACUAAACCCAUCUGGUCCUGGGCUUUUUUUAGUUGGGAAACUAUUAAUGACUGUUUCUAUUUCUUUAGGGGAUAUGAGACUGUUUAGAUCAUUAACCUGAUCUUGAUCUAACUUUGGUAUCUGGUAUCUAUCUAGAAAAUUGCCCAUUUCAUCCAGGUUUUUCAAUUUUGUUGAGUAUAGGCUUUUGAAGUAGCAUCUGAUGAUUUUUUUGAAUUUUCUCAGAUUCUGUUGUUAUGUCUUCCUUUUCAUUUCUGAUUUUGUUAAUUAGGAUACUGUCUACCUGUGCCCUCUAUUGAGUCUGGCUAAGGGUUUAUCUAUCUUGUUGAUUUUUCUCACAGAACCAGCUCCUGGUUUGGUUAAUUCUUUGUAUAGUUCUUUUUGUUUCCCCUUGGUUGAUUUCAGCCCUGAGUUUGGUUAUUUUCUGCUGUCUACUCCUCUUUGGUGAAUUUGCUUCCUUUUGUUUUAGAGCUUUUAGGUGUGCUGUCAACCUGCUAGUGUAUGCACUCUCCAGCUUCUUUUUGGAGGCACUCGGAGCUAUGAGUUUUCCUCUUAGGACUGCUUUCAUUGUGCCCCAUAAGUUUGGGUAUGUUGUGUCUUCAUUUUCAUUAAACUCUAAAAAGUCUUUAAUUUCUUUCUUUAUUUAUUCCUUGACCAAAUUAUCAUUGAGUAGAGUAGAGUAGAGUAGAGUAAAGUGUUGCUCAGCUUUUACGUGUAUGUUGGCUUUCUAUUAUUUAUGUUGUUAUUGAAGGUCAGCCUUAGUCCAUGGUGAUCAGUUAGGAUGCAUGGGAUUAUUUCAGUAUUUUUGUAUUUGUUGAGGCCUGUUUUGUGACCAAUUAUAUGGUCAAUUUUGGUGAAGGUGCCAUGAGGUGCUGAGAAGAAGGUAUAUCCUUUUGUUUUAGGAUAAAAUGUUCUGUAGAUAUCUGUUAAAUCCAUUUGCUCCAUAACUUCUGUUAGUUUCACUGUGUCUCCGUUUAGUUUCUGUUUCCAGGAUCUGUCCAUUGAUGAGAGUGGGGUGUUGAAGUCUCCCACUAUUAUUGUAUAAGGUGCAAUGUGUGCUUUGAGCUUUGCUAAAGUUUCUUUUUUUUUUUUUUUUGGUUUUUUUGAGACAGGGUUUCUCUGUAUAGCUCUGGCUGUCCUGGAACUCGAACUCAAGAAAUCCGCCUGCAUCUGCCUCCCGAGUGCUGGGAUUAAAGGCAUGCACCACCACACCCAGCUAAAAGUUUCUUUAAUGAAUAUGGAUGCCCUUGCAUUUGGAGCAUAGGUGUUCAGAAUUGAGAGUUCCUCUUGUAAGAUUUUACCUUUGAUAAGUAUGAAGUGCCCCUCCUUUCUUUUUUGAUAACUUUUUAAUUUAAUUUUUUGAGACAGGAUCUCACUCCUUUGAUAGACCAGACUGCUUUCAAACUCAAAGAGAUCUGUCUCCCUCUACCACCUGAGUGCUGGGAUUAAAGGUUCAAUGUUAUUUCAUGAAUCCACAAAUAAAAUAAUGCCAAUUAUGAGUGAAAUAAUAAAAUUAAGCCAUUUUGUAUUUGGCUUAUUACAGAAGUAUAAGCUUAUUGUGUUAUGAAGGGAUAAGCUUGGAAGCAAUGAAGUAUCUUACAGUGUCCACAUGUGAUAUAGUACCAAUAUCAAUUCAGCUUAUAUCACUUUCAUAACAUUUCAACUUUUUUGU